GACGAACGCUGGCGGCGUGCCUAAUACAUGCAAGUAGAACGCUGAAGGAGGAGCUUGCUCUUCUGGAUGAGUUGCGAACGGGUGAGUAACGCGUAGGUAACCUGCCUGGUAGUGGGGGAUAACUAUUGGAAACGAUAGCUAAUACCGCAUAAUAACAGUUGUUGCAUGACAACUGUUUGAAAGGUGCACUUGCAUCACUACCAGAUGGACCUGCGUUGUAUUAGCUAGUUGGUGGGGUAACGGCUCACCAAGGCGACGAUACAUAGCCGACCUGAGAGGGUGAUCGGCCACACUGGGACUGAGACACGGCCCAGACUCCUACGGGAGGCAGCAGUAGGGAAUCUUCGGCAAUGGACGAAAGUCUGACCGAGCAACGCCGCGUGAGUGAAGAAGGUUUUCGGAUCGUAAAGCUCUGUUGUAAGAGAAGAACGAGUGUGAGAGUGGAAAGUUCACACUGUGACGGUAUCUGACCAGAAAGGGACGGCUAACUACGUG
rnacentral:rRNA from 1 species